CAGUAUUUACUUUUAGGAACCAUCAAAUCCUUGAGUGAAUGGAGUACGAGCUUAGCGGUCUGACAUCAGGCAAGAACCCAGGCUUCUCUUUUUGUUUUCUUGCUUUCCUGUGGGCCAGAAACUUCAGUAUUUGUCUCUCAAAUCUGUCCAGAUAAAGAAUCUGAGGCUCAGCGAAGUUGCCACAUCACAGACUUGGUAAUGGCAGAAGUGGAAUCAAGUUGCCUUAAAAAAUAAUUUUUCAUUCACAAGAACAUUCUAUCAUAAAUUAUAUCAUGCAAAUGUCACAAUGUGUUGGCAUGCAGGAAUUCACAUCUGGCUCAAAUGAAGAGGAAAAAGAGGAACCAGGUGCAGAAGCAGAACUUGAAAGUAGCCAUGGAACGUGACCGCUGAAGCGCAGCACCGCAUAGAGACAAUUAAGUCCCCGGAUGUCUGUGGGCCUCCCUGACAGCUGUCAGGCCUACCACAAGAGCUUGGGAGAGCGGAGUUUUCUCCUCACUCACCCGAGGAAGGAGACAUCUCCAUCAUCUUGGACGUCUCUUUCCCUAGCUGGCUAAACAGCAGGUGCUUUCACAGCACUGACACUGCUGCACAGCCAAGGCGUCCUCCAGCAGCCCUCAUGCCGGAGUGACAGAGGACUUAGAGCAUCUUGCCUUAGGGUCACCUCUUUUCCAAUGCCACUUCAGUCCCAUACUUCUUGACCUGAGACUUAUUAGUAAGAUUAAAGAUUAUAUAAUUAUACGUGUGUAUAUAUUUAUGAUUACAUAUGAAUAGCUAUGUGAUUAUUUAUGAUUAUAUAUAGGAAUAACUGUGUGACUAUAUCUCUAAUUCUUUUCUAAUUCUAUGUUUAUAUGAGAACACACUGAGGCUUCAGACUCCUGCCUCAGCUCUUGUGGGGUUUCCUCCCACACACCACCUUGUUUCUGAUUCUGUGAACUUCAGCAUUAUGACUUAUCAUAACUCUCCAUUUUCUGAUGCAGAGAGAAACUUCCACCCCAUCCACAGGGUGUGUCCUUGUCUCCUGGCCAAGGAAAAGGACACUAGUCUGCUUCUCCUGUCCUUGGACAUCGGACUCCAGGUUCUUCAGCCUUUGGACUCUGGGACUUGCACCAGCGACCUCCCAGGGGCUCAGAAUGAGAGCUGCGCUGUUGGCUUCCCUAGGUUGGGGCCUUUUAGACUUGGACUGAACCAAACUACUGGCUUUUCCCUUUUCCCAGCUUGCAGCCUAUCAUGUGACUUUGCCUCGUAA
rnacentral:lncRNA from 13 species